CAGCAGCCGCGGUAAUACGUAGGGGGCGAGCGUUACCCGGAUUCACUGGGCGUAAAGGGGGUGUAGGCGGCUCGGUAAGUCGGGUGUGAAAUCCCACGGCUCAACCGUGGAAUUGCGCCCGAAACUGCCGAGCUUGGGGCCGGUAGAGGGAGACGGAACUGCCGGUGUAGGGGUGAAAUCCGUAGAUAUCGGCAGGAACGCCGGUGGGGAAGCCGGCCUCCUGGGCCGCGCCCGACGCUGAGGCCCGAAAGCUAGGGGAGCAAACCGGAUUAGAUCCCCGGGUAGUCCUAGCCGUAAACGAUGCCCACUAGGUGUGGGGGAGUAUUUCCUCCGUGCCGAAGCUAACGCAUUAAGUGCCCCGCCUGGGGAGUACGGCCGCAAGGUUGAAACUUAAAGGAAUUGGCGGG
rnacentral:rRNA from 1 species